CAGCAGCCGCGGUAAAACGUAGGUGGCAAGCGUUGUCCGGAAUUAUUGGGCGUAAAGCGCGCGCAGGCGGAUAGGUCAGUCUGUCUUAAAAGUUCGGGGCUUAACCCCGUGAUGGGAUGGAAACUGCCAAUCUAGAGUAUCGGAGAGGAAAGUGGAAUUCCUAGUGUAGCGGUGAAAUGCGUAGAUAUUAGGAAGAACACCAGUGGCGAAGGCGACUUUCUGGACGAAAACUGACGCUGAGGCGCGAAAGCCAGGGGAGCGAACGGGAUUAGAUACCCGUGUAGUCCCUGUCUCUUAUACA
rnacentral:rRNA from 1 species